ACGACCUUACUUGAACAGGAUCUGUUCUAUAGGCUCGUACCACUGUAUUAUUGAUUUCUAAGGUGACAGGAAACCAAGAGUUAAAAAAAAAUAUCA
rnacentral:snoRNA from 1 species